rnacentral:misc_RNA from 1 species
UGCAGAAAAAAAAGAAACAGCGCAAAACAUCUAGAGAACAUGGAGGGUGCCAGUCGCAGCAGGAACUCCUCCACGAGUCACAGUCAAGGUCGCGGCCAGGACAUUGAGGAUCUCAAGCAAGACAUUCCCUACUUUGACGCACCGCAGGCCCUCGAUUCCGAUCUUCUUGAUCUGGGCAAGAGCGAAUGCCAGCUGGACGAGCUGGCCUGGGAUCCCGCUGCGGAUGUGGAUGCGGAAGUGGGUGCGGAUGUGGGUGCGGAUGUGAAUGCGGAUGCGCCGCUAGAGACGGCUCCCGCCGUCGAGCUCGAGGAGGACAACUAUCCGGAUGAGAAUGAUAUCUCGGUGCUUGGCAUCGACUAUGCGCCCAGUGGGAGUGGCAGUGGUGAGAACAGUUUCUAUCAAUCGCCCACGCCCUCUGCCGCCGGAUCCGGUUGCGAUCUAAUGCUCCGACCGCCCUCCAGUUCCAUGUACCACUUCAAUUACCGAUCGCCGGGUAGUCCAAUGCCUGCGGCUUCAGGAGUGACCAACUCUCGUGGUCUGCAUCCGUUUGCACAUCCCCCGGCGCAUGGCAAUCCGUCUGGUUUCUAUCCGAACAUGUGGUAUCCGAAUGCACCAUACGGACCGGCAGCAUCCGCAGGAGGAGCCGCGUCCGGUGGCAGGUACAUGGGCUACGGACCGGGCGGAGUGCCCGGAGGAGCCAGUUCUGGGCCCGGUGCGGCUCCGGGAGCAAUGCAGGCGGCAUAUCCUGGACACUCGGCCCACAUGCAUGCGCUGCACCAUCAAUAUCCGCAGCCACAUCCGCACGCCCACCACCCGCAGCAUCCGCAUCAUUCACCACAUCCGCACCACCCGCAUCCGCACGAGACCAUGAUGGAGAUGUUUCAGCUCUCGAAUAGUGGUCGGGAGGCGCGAAACCGGGCGGAAAAGAACCGGCGAGACAAGCUGAAUGGAUCCAUCCAGGAACUAUCCACAAUGGUGCCCCAUGUGGCGGAGUCACCACGUCGAGUGGACAAAACAGCCGUUCUGCGCUUCGCCGCCCACGCAUUGCGAUUGAAGCAUGCCUUCGGCAACAGUCUGAUGCAGCAGCGACCACAGAUCACGGACACCCUGAUGGACAUGAUGGACAGCUUCUUCCUCACACUCACCUGCCAUGGCCACAUACUGCUGGUCUCGGCCAGCAUUGAGCAGCACCUGGGCCACUGUCAGUCGGAUCUGUAUGGGCAGAGCAUCAUGCAGAUCACCCAUCCCGAGGACCAGAACAUGCUCAAGCAGCAACUGAUCCCCACCGAGCUGGAGAACCUCUUCGACGCCCAUGGCGAUUCGGAUGCGGACGGUGAGCCCCGCCAGCGGAGCAAAGACGAGGAGGACGCCAUCGAUCGCAAGCUGCGCGAGGACAGACGCAGUUUUCGAGUGAGAUUGGCUCGUGCUGGUCCCAGAUCGGAACCCACCGCCUACGAAGUGGUCAAGAUCGAUGGCUGUUUUCGGCGUAGUGACGAAGCGCCACGCGGCGUACGCUCCAAUCAUUUCAGCUCCAAUAUGCAGUUGAUCAGGAGGACGCGCGGGCGUGAUGAUGUCAUUCCUCUGCACACCAUUAGCGGCAACGAUAUCAUUCUGACUGGCUGCGCCCGGAUCAUCCGUCCGCCAAAGAUCGCCAGUCGGCUGAUUGAUGCCAACACAAUGGAGUACAAAACCCGCCACCUGAUCGACGGCAGGAUCGUCGACUGCGACCAGAGGAUAGGUAUUGUGGCCGGCUACAUGACGGACGAGGUGCGCCAUCUCAGUCCAUUCACCUUCAUGCACAACGACGAUGUGCGCUGGGUGAUCGUGGCCCUGCGGCAAAUGUACGACUGCAAUAGUUCUUAUGGCGAGUCCACUUACCGGCUGUUCACCCGCAACGGGAGCAUCAUCUACCUGCAAUCGAAGGGCUAUCUGGAGAUCGAGAAGGAGACGAACAAGGUGCACUCCUUUGUCUGUGUGAACACGCUGCUUGGCGAGGAGGAGGGCAAGCGGCGGGUGCAGGAGAUGAAGAAGAAGUUCUCGGUGAUCAUCAACACCCAGAUACCGCAGGCGACCAUCGAUGUGCCCGCCUCCGAGCAUCCGGCUCUGCUGGAGAAGGCCGUGCUGCGGCUCAUCCAGAAUCUGCAGAAAUCAGGCGAGAAUGGCUGCCAUGGUGACGUCGAUGAAACACAGGAUGACGACGACGAUGAGGAGGAUGAUGAUGAGGAUCAGGACGAUGGCGCACGCAGUGUGUCCCAAUUCGGCGAUCCCUAUGAUAGCCACCACGGUCGAUCGAAUCGUGGUGCCUCGGCACUUUCCUCCCACGGGCAUGGUAGCUCCAAGACCCCGCCCCUGGCACUGAUUCCACCGGAAACAUGCUCCGUCAAGUCGUCGAUUUCGAAGAGCAUUAGGGUGGUGAAUGUAACGGCGGGCAAACAUCUGCGCGGUGUCCACGGAUCCACGGCGACAGUCAAUUCGCCUAGCUCCUUGGGCAGUUGCACCUGCAGCGAGUCUCAUUCGCCCUGCGACUUCUGCCAGGGUUCACCCCCGCCCGAUCCCCAGGCGGUUGGGUCCACCCUAAAGAGGAGCAGCACUGCUCUGACGGAGACCGAGGAGAAGCAGCCCAAGCGGCGCUUUAUGCCCAGCACUGAAAUCGAGCACGUGCUGCACACGUCACUGGACCAAAUCGGGCGAAAUCUGACCCAACAACUCAAUGUGGCCAGGAAUUUGCGGGAACAGAGCCAGCUUUUCGAGUUGCCCCAUGCCAACCAGCGGUUCGAUGAGAUCAUGCAGGAGCACCAGAAACAAAGUGAACUGUAUGUGAACAUCAAGAGCGAGUACGAGGAGCAGCUGCAGCACAAGGCCACCACCCGCAAGUCAUCGGAGUCGGAUCGAAAUCAUGAGGAACAGCCGCUUCAGGAGGACGACCAGAACUAGAGAGAUGGGGAGCGCCCGAUCGACUCUCGACUGAAGGGUUUCAUCGAUGUGAUAUGUAACUACUGUCUUGGCAGCCAGCUCAAGCCCAAACACCCAAACAAGGUGUCA